CGGAGGGUGCAAGCGUUAGUCGGAAUUACUGGGCGUAAAGGGUUCGUAGGUGGUUUAUUAAGUUAUUUGUAAAAUCCCUGGGCUUAACCUGGGCAGGUCAGAUAAUACUGGUAGACUCGAGUAUGGGAGAGGGUAGUGGAAUUUCCGGUGUAGCGGUGAAAUGCGUAGAGAUCGGAAGGAACACCAGUGGCGAAGGCGGCUACCUGGCCUAAUACUGACACUGAGGAACGAAAGCGUGGGGAGCAAACAGGAUUAGAUACCCUGGUAGUCCACGCCGUAAACGAUGUCAACUAGCUGUUGGUCAUAUUGAUAUGAUUAGUGGCGCAGCAAACGCGAUAAGUUGACCGCCUGGGGAGUACGGUCGCAAGAUUA
rnacentral:rRNA from 1 species